GAUAGGUUUCCAUGAAUGGAAACAUUGAUCCGGAUUUGAUAUGCCAGCGGUUAAUGGCAAUGCAGAUUCCACAAGAUAAUUACUUUACGAUGAGAAUUUCAUACAAGUUUAACGUGCUGCCACUGCACUCCAAAUAAUCUAAACGUUGUUUCCACCUGAAUUUUCAGGUACAUUUUACGUGCACACGUAACUGCAAAUGCUUCAGAAAAUUCAGGUGAAACUUACGUGUCCGGUGAACUCUAUCCAAAACUCAGGUAGAACUUACCUGAUUUUCACGUAGAAUGAAAAUUCUAUCAAAAAAUCAGGUGAAAGUUACGUGAAUUUCAGGUGGACAAGAUCUACGUACUUUUUCAGGUGGAAACAACGUGCAGAUUUUUUUGGGUGUGGCGCUGCAGAUUACUCAGAUUGCGGGAAACCUGAUGAACCGAACUUUACCCGGGUGUUGGACCGAGAAAAACGAAUUCUUCCUGCAUGCAUUUACCGAAAAGGACUACAUCGCGCCGGAUAAGGCUCUCAGAGCUAGAAGAUUUUAAUCAAGAGAAACCGGAAGCGGCUGCUGAUCGCAGCAAACCUGAAAAUAAGGCGGCAUACUCCGGCGGCCUUGUGUUGGAAACGAUAAAAGGAUUCUACGGCAAAUUUAUCCUGCAAAUGGAUUACAGCUCCCUUUACCCCAUAUCAUCCGGUCCGGGAGUACCACAUUUCAUUCACUACGGUGCUAUCGCCGACGACCGAUGCAGUAGAUGGUGAGAACGCCAGCAAUCAGAUCCUCCAAACAAGCGAAAUGGGAAUAUUGCCCUGUCAAAUUCUCAAACUCGUCGAGAGCAGAAAGUCAGCGAAACAACUAAUGAAAGCACCUGGUCUGUCACCGGAACUUAACAUGCAGUGCAACAUUUACCAGAUGGUGCUCAAGCUUCCGGCUUCCGGUUGGCGCUACACUAGAUCCUGAUUCUAUGCUCAGCACAUGGCCGCUCUGACCACACUAAAAAGUCGGGAAAUUCUUAUGGGGAACCAAAAGCAUCGUGGAAAAACUGAAUUAUCAGCUUAUCUAUGGCAACACGAUCAACACCAACAGCAUCGAUUGUGACGAGCUGUUCAAGAUCGAUGCUAACAACAAGCACAUCGUCAAUAAAACAUUCAAAUGCUUGGAUCUGAACGUACUACAAGUAGAAAAAGAAGUACCUACGCGGCUGUUUCGAUAGCCAAGAUCUGGGAAAAAUUCGAAUGCACGCAUGCAUGACUUGCAUAACUGCAGUUAUAGAACGUCUAUGUAGUGGUAGAGACUUGGAAAAAUCAUUAUCAGCAGAUUUGUGUUUUUAUAACAGCGAUCGUGUAAAGACUUUCUAGGCUAGGUUUUUUUAAUCAAUGGCUAAGAAGGGCCCCUAGUAGAAUCCAUGUUUGAGACGAAUAUUUGCUCGACUGGGAAUACUGUCGUCCGGUCAAAUUACUGCUACAUAUCGCCAUCGACGAACUGGACUUACUGUUAAGGUGCAAGCGCAACAUCUACACUGCUCGCCUCACUAUUCCAACCAGUUCUCAGCAUUGGGGCCCUUUUCAAUGCACUGGACAAUAUAUGCGGAUUUGAGACGCGGGCACUUGGAGACCGCUGUUCCAUUUUGGCUGUCGUACAACUGACACAAAUUCUUAUUUGAGCUACAAAACUAUUUUUACCAAUAACAUAAUAUAUACAUAUUAUAAAUAAAUAAAUAAUUUCAA